AUGCUCACUUUGGCAGCACAUAUACUAACAAUGGAAUGAUACACAGAAGAUUAGCAAUGCCCAUGCACAAGGAUGACAUGCAAAUUCAUGCAGUGUUCCAUAUUUUU